rnacentral:rRNA from 1 species
GACGAACGCUGGCGGCGUGCUUAACACAUGCAAGUCGAACGGAAAGGCCCUGCUUGCCGGGUACUCGAGUGGCGAACGGGUGAGUAACACGUGAGUGAUCUGCCCUGCACUUCAUGAUAAGCCUGGGAAACUGGGUCUACUACCGGGUAGGAGCCAAUUUUAGUGUGAUGGUUGGAAAGAUUUUUCGGUGUAGGAUGAGCUGGCGGCCUAUCGGCUUGUUGGUGGGGUAAUGGCCUACCAAGGCGGCGACGGGUAGGCGGCCUGAGAGGGUGGACGGCCACAUUGGGACUGAGAGACGGCCCAGACUGGUACGGGAGGCAGCAGUGGGGAAUAUUGCACAAUGGGCGCAAGCCUGAUGCAGCGACGCCGCGGGGGGGAUGACGGGCCUCGGGUUGUAAACUCCCUUCGCGAGGGACGAAGCUUUUUGUGACGGUACCUAGAAAAGAAGCACCGGCUAACUACGUG